rnacentral:rRNA from 1 species
UACAGAGGUCUCAACCGUUGUUCGGAUUCAUUGGGCGUAAAGGGUGCGUAGGCGGUCGUGCAAGUCGGAUGUGAAAUCUCAGGGCUCAACCCUGAAACUGCAUUCGAUACUGCGCGGCUAGAGUGCUGGAGGGGAGACUGGAAUUUACGGUGUAGCAGUGAAAUGCGUAGAUAUCGUAAGGAAGACCAGUGGCGAAGGUGAGUCUCUGGACAGCAACUGACGCUGAGGCACGAAGGCCAGGGGAGCAAACGGG